rnacentral:rRNA from 1 species
AACGAACGCUGGCGGCAGGCUUAACACAUGCAAGUCGAACGCCCCGCAAGGGGAGUGGCAGACGGGUGAGUAACGCGUGGGAAUCUACCGUGCCCUGCGGAAUAGCUCUGGGAAACUGGAAUUAAUACCGCAUACGCCCUACGGGGGAAAGAUUUAUCGGGGUAUGAUGAGCCCGCGUUGGAUUAGCUAGUUGGUGGGUA